rnacentral:rRNA from 1 species
AAGUCGUAACAAGGUUUCCGUAGGUGAACCUGCGGAAGGAUCAUUACCGAGUUCAUGCCCUCACGGGUAGAUCUCCCACCCUUUGUUUACUACACGCUGUUGCUUUGGCGGACCGCUACAAGUUGGCUUCGGCCGAUGCGUGGCUACCGGUUUCGGCUGGUAAGUGCCCGCCAGAGGACCCAACCAACCUGAAUUAUUAGUGUCGUCUGAGUAAAAAUUUAAUAUUUAAAACUUUCAACAACGGAUCUCUUGGCUCUGGCAUCGAUGAAGAACGCAGCGAAAUGCGAUAAGUAAUGUGAAUUGCAGAAUUCAGUGAAUCAUCGAAUCUUUGAACGCACAUUGCGCCCCCUGGUAUUCCGGGGGGCAUGCCCCUUCGAGCGUCAUUAUCACCCCUCAAGCCUAGCUUGGUGUUGGGGCAUGCCGCCACCGGCAGCCCUUAAAAUCAGUGGCAGUGCUGUCAGGCUCUAAGCGUAGUAAAACCAUCGCUAUAGACCCCUGGGAGUACUCGCCAGAACCCCCCACUAUUUAAUGAUUGACCUCGGAUGGGGUAGGGAUACCCGCUGAACUUAAGCAUAUCAAUAAGCGGAGGAAAAGAAACCAACAGGGAUUGCCCCAGUAACGGCGAGUGAAGCGGCAAAAGCUCAAAUUUGAAAUCUGGCUCUUUUAGGGUCCGAGUUGUAAUUUGUAGAAGAUGUUUCGGGUGUGGCUCCGGUUUAAGUUCUUUGGAAUAUUACAUCAUAGAGGGUGAGAAUCCCGUAUGUGACCGGCAGCCUCCGCCUAUGUGAAACUCUUUCGACGAGUCGAGUUGUUUGGGAAUGCAGCUCAAAAUGGGUGGUAUAUUUCAUCUAAAGCUAAAUACUGGCCAGAGACCGAUAGCGCACAAGUAGAGUGAUCGAAAGAUGAAAAGCACUUUGGAAAGAGAGUUAAACAGUACGUGAAAUUGUUGAAAGGGAAGCGCUUGCAACCAGACUUGCACGCAGUUGAUCAUCCGGUGUUCUCACCGGGGCACUCUGCUGCGUUCAGGCCAGCAUCGGUUUCGGUGGUUGGAUAAAGGCCUUGGGAAUGUAGCUCCUCUCGGGGAGUGUUAUAGCCCUCGGUGCAAUGCAGCCUACCGGGACCGAGGACCGCGCUUCGGCUAGGAUGCUGGCGUAAUGGUUGUAAGCGGCC